rnacentral:rRNA from 1 species
UGGGGAAUAUUGGACAAUGGGCGAAAGCCUGAUCCAGCAAUGCCGCGUGAGUGAUGAAGGCCUUAGGGUUGUAAAGCUCUUUUACCCGGGAUGAUAAUGACAGUACCGGGAGAAUAAGCUCCGGCUAACUCCGUGCCAGCAGCCGCGGUAAUACGGAGGGAGCUAGCGUUGUUCGGAAUUACUGGGCGUAAAGCGCGCGUAGGCGGCUUUGUAAGUUAGGGGUGAAAGCCCGGAGCUCAACUCCGGAAUUGCCUUUAAGACUGCAUCGCUUGAAUCCGGGAGGGGUGAGUGGAAUUCCGAGUGUAGAGGUGAAAUUCGUAGAUAUUCGGGAGAACACCAGUGGCGAAGGCGGCUCACUGGACCGGUAUUGACGCUGAGGUGCGAAAGCGUGGGGAGCAAACAGG